rnacentral:rRNA from 1 species
AAACCAACAGGGAUUACCUCAGUAAUGGCGAAUGAAGCGGUAAUAGCUCAAAUUUGAAAGCUGCCAACAGGCCGCGUUGUAAUUUGUAGAAGAUGCUUUGGGUGUUGGCCUAGUCUAAGUUCCUUGGAACAGGACGUCAUAGAGGGUGAGAAUCCCGUAUGUGAUUGGUGCCUUCCCCCGUGUAAAGCUCUUUCGACGAGUCGAGUUGUUUGGGAAUGCAGCUCAAAAUGGGUGGUAAAUUUCAUCUAAAGCUAAAUAUUGGCCAGAGACCGAUAGCGCACAAGUAGAGUGAUCGAAAGAUGAAAAGCACUUUGGAAAGAGAGUUAAACAGUACGUGAAAUUGUUGAAAGGGAAGCGCUUGCAAUCAGACUUGCAGGCGGUCGAUCAUCCGAGGUUCUCCCCGGUGCACUCGAUCGUCUUCAGGCCAGCAUCGGUUUCAGUGGUGGGAUAAAGGCUGUGAGAAUGUGGCUCUUCGGAGUGUUAUAGCUCACGGUGCAAUGCCGCCUACUGGGACCGAGGACCGCGCUUCGGCUAGGAUGCUGGCGUAAUGGUUGUAAGCGAC